GAUGAACGCUGGCGGCGUGCCUAAUACAUGCAAGUCGAGCGAACGGACGAGAAGCUUGCUUCUCUGAUGUUAGCGGCGGACGGGUGAGUAACACGUGGAUAACCUACCUAUAAGACUGGGAUAACUUCGGGAAACCGGAGCUAAUACCGGAUAAUAUUUUGAACCGCAUGGUUCAAAAGUGAAAGACGGUCUUGCUGUCACUUAUAGAUGGAUCCGCGCUGCAUUAGCUAGUUGGUAAGGUAACGGCUUACCAAGGCAACGAUGCAUAGCCGACCUGAUAGGGGGAUCGGCCACACUGGAACUGAGACACGGUCCAUACGCCUACGGGAGGCAGCAGUAGGGAAUCUUCCGCAAUGGGCGAAAGCCUGACGGAGCAGCGCCACGUGAGUGAUGAAGGUCUUCGGAUCGUAAAACUCUGUUAUUAGGGAAGAACAUAUGUGUAAGUAACUGUGCACAGCGUGACGGUACCUAAUCAGAAAGCCACGGCUAACUACGUG
rnacentral:rRNA from 1 species